CGCCAAUGAAGAAGAAGGACCCGAAGGACGAGGAUCUGUCCGACGAGGAUCUUGCGCUGAAGCAACAGCUCGAUCUCUAUGUGGAGCGGGUCCAGGACUCCGAUCCCGGAGUGCAGAAGCUGGCUCUGGAGAGCAUGAGGCAGGAGAUUCGCACAGCGACGAGUUCUAUGACUUCCGUGCCGAAGCCGCUGAAAUUCCUGAGGCCGCAUUAUGGAACUCUGAAAUCGUUCUUCGAGACCAUGCCCGAGACUGAAGUGAAGAAGUACCUUGCUGACAUUCUUUCUGUAUUGGCGCUCACCAUGUCGGCUGAAGGUGAUAGGGAGAGUCUCAAGUUUCGUUUGCUAGGUUCAGAGGGGG
rnacentral:misc_RNA from 1 species